CGGACGGGUGAGUAACGCGUGGGUAACCUGCCUCAUACAGGGGGAUAACAGUUAGAAAUGACUGCUAAUACCGCAUAAGACCACAGCACCGCAUGGUGCAGGGGUAAAAACUCCGGUGGUAUGAGAUGGACCCGCGUCUGAUUAGCUGGUUGGUGGGGUAACGGCCUACCAAGGCGACGAUCAGUAGCCGACCUGAGAGGGUGACCGGCCACAUUGGGACUGAGACACGGCCCAA
rnacentral:rRNA from 1 species